GCCAAGAGCCUAGCCUAGGUGUUGCCAAUUAAAGAUGCUUUCUUAAGUAAGCAAAUCUUGGCAGGGUGCCUAGACACAGCCCGUGAAGGCCCUCUGGCCUUUUGCAAAUACCCUGUGAAGAGAUAUUGCUCCGGCUAUAGAAGCUGAAGCCCAGAAAAAAAUGUCCGCUGUGGGCUGCUAUGGACUCCUCAUCAUUCAGAGAAAGGCAACUGGCCAGCGAGGAGUGGUUGUUAACAGCGGCUAAGUGUGGAAGGACAGUGACAGUCAUCAGUUGGAUGGAAGAUAGUAAAUAGGGCUGCUGGGCUCAAGACAACGCAAGAAAUAAAUUCACAUCUGAUCCUUAUGGAUCAAAUGUUGUUGCCACCAUCAAUAGAAUAACCACACCCAAAAUGAAACACAUGUGCUCAUACCACAUGGCAGUCUGUGCCUCUGGGUGCACAGUAAAGGUCAGAGGUCGCCGUGGAGACUCAGAACCUGAGAGGCAUCCGCUGCCUCAUUCGUUAAAUAGGCCUGUGCAGUAGACAGAGAGAAGACUCCGCAGAGAUCGCCACAUCUGCAUCCCCCAGACCUGGGAGCGUGUUACCUCCCAUGGCAAACAGGACUUUGCAGUUGUGAUUAAGGAUCUUGAGACGGGGAGAGUAUUCUGGAUUAUCCGGGCUGGUGCAGUGUCAUCACAAGGAUGCUGAUGCAGGAAAGAGGGAGGCAGGAAGGGAGAGGAGAUGCGACCGUGGGAGCAGACGCCAGGAGCCUAGGAAGAUGAGCACACUCUAGAAGCUGGAAAAGGAGCAAUAGGAAACUGACACAGAACAUUAACAUCUUCCCUGCAGGACUGUGUAAGGACUAAGUGACAACUGUUAUUGAGGACAACACGGUGCCUGAUACGUAGAAAGAGUGGAAUAAAUGCUGUCAACCCUAAAGCAUUGCCCAUAACCCCACCAAGCUCUUCCCAAGCUCCCUGCAGCAUGUAAAGAAAAAGAAAAAGUAUCUUUGAGCAGAGGGAGGAAGCUGGAAUUUAUUGGGCUAGGCACUUUACAUGGUGGAAUGCCACAACAAGCUUUGGAAGUGAAGCUCCCUAAACUCAGAGAGGUUAAAAGUGACCUGCCCACCAUCAC
rnacentral:lncRNA from 1 species